UACAGAGGUCUCGAGCGUUAGGUGCGGAAAUCACUGGGCUUAAAGCGUGUGUAGGCGGAUCGUUAAGUGCCUUGUGAAAUCCCACGGCUCAACCGUGGAACUGCUUGGCAGUACUGGCGGAUCUUGAGCAACCUAGGGGCGAAGCGGAACAAAUGGUGGAGCGGUGAAAUGCGUAGAUAUCAAUUUGGAACGCCAAUGGGUGAAAACAGCUCGCUGGGGGUUGCUGACGGCUGAGACGACGAAAAGCCAGGGGGAGCCAAAGCGGGGAUUAAGAAAACCCCCGGGUAGUCC
rnacentral:rRNA from 1 species